UGAAAAAAUGGGAAAAAACUGUUAUUAUUUGGAUUUGAUCCUUGAAGGGGUUUGAGAGAUGAGUUGUAGCCUCAAGAUUGACUUUCUCAGACAUUCAUUCUACAAAAAGAGUGGAUGACAAAGGUUUCUGAAAUUAUUUCAGGGCCUAGUUGAAAGAGCACAAGUCCGGGUUCUAAUUCCAACUUCACCACUUCCUCGUUGCGGGACUUUGGGCAAGUCACUUCUCUAAGCCUCAGUUCCCUCAUCUACAAAAUGCUGUUUCAAUCCCUGUUCUCCCUCCUACUUAGACUGCGAACUUCAUGGGAAACCUGAUGAUCUUGUAUGCACCCUCACGCUUAGUACAGUGUUUGGCACCUAGCAGAUACUAUUAGCGUUAUUAUGAUCCUGCUUUCAUUAAGUCAAUUCUCCAGAUUAUGCAAGUGCUUGCCAGCUGUUUUCGAUUGUCUGGGAAUGGUGAAGGAAAGGAGGAGUUGUCCGGUAUUGAUCGUAUUUUGAUGCUGGCACUAAAAAUCAGGUAAAAUCUUCUAGCAUAACCCAAUGGGCCUCGUUCCAAUUUGUCUUCUGGGAGGAGUUACCAUUCGUUUUGCAAAAGAAACAACCAAUUUAACCUGUAAUAAUAGAUCGAGAUGAAAUGGCCCUUCUGGCUGAAUAUUUAAAUCAAAAGCAAAUGAUCUAAUUAGCAAGGGCAAGUAAAUACGGAGAUGUGGGGUAUAAUGCAAAUGCAUAUUAACGUGGGCAAUUAAUUUGCUCAAGGACUUUUCCAAAGUAGGGGAAAAAGCCAUCCAUGCUUUGUUUAAUCAUGCUCAUUUCAGGUAAGUUACACUUUCCAAUGUGUCCAGAUCAUAAAAUUCAAUUUGCUUUUCUAACAGACCCUCUUUGGAAGAUUUCCAGAAUGCAUGCAGCAGUUUCCUAGCAACCACGGAGAACCCAGACUUAACUCUUCGUUUCAAUGUUUCCACCCAGCCAGCCACAAACAGGGAAACCCAGCCUACAUUCGAAUUCCCCUUCUUCUGUCACCCUGGUCUCAUCUCGAUUCCAUCCCUCUGUGAUGCAAAUUCGUGCAACUCAAACACGGAAUGGAAGGUUACAUCUUCCUCCUUUGACUUUGAAUAGAAAGUCGGGAUCCCCUGCAGAGAAGUCAGGUAAUUAUCUGGACUACGGGAUCAUGUCCUGGCCACGUGUCAAUGAAUAAAGACUUAUAAAUUCACAUCAAGGUAGAAUUCAUCAUCGAAUGAUAGGUUUGGGCUGGACGAUGUGCAGACGGAUUGAAUGACUAACGAUUAUUCGUAGCCCUUAGCUUUAUUCUUCUGGUCUGAAAGUGGAAAAUGAAGAGGUAAGACUGGUUUCUUCACAUACUUUCAAUCUGGCUAUGUGUUUGUAGAACAGCAUGAAGCUUGCAUGCAUUAUUUGCAAAGAAUCGAGAUGUCUGUCCAUCAGUCGGUGGUAUUUAUUGAGCGCUACAUGUAGAGGACUUGACUAGUCGCUUGGAAGAGGACAAUGUAACAGAGCUGGUAGACGUUGGGAGACAAUGUAAGGAGUUUUCAGUGUAUGGGGGGAGAGAGACAUUGAUGUAAAUUACGGAUACAUACAUAGCUGCUGGGAAGGAGAGGAUGGGGUAAAUAGCUAGUGUUAAAGAGCACGGAUUCAAGCGCUCAGGUGUCACAGAAGGAAGAGGGAGUAGGGGAAAUGAGGGCUUCAUCAGGGAAGGCCUCUCAGAGGAGGUGUGCUUUAAAUAAGGCUGUGAAGGUGGGGAGAGUGGUGGUCUGUCAGAUACAAAGAGAGAAGGAGUUCCAGGCCAGAGGGAGAAUCAGGCAAGGGGUGGUGGUGGAUAGGCGAGAUUGAGGUGCCCAGUGGCAUUAGAGGAGCAAGUUGAGCAUGCAGGGUUGUGGUAGGAAAUGAUAAUAAUAAUAAUUAUGGUACUUGUUAAGCACUGACUAUGUGCCCAGCACUGUUCUAAACUCUGGGGUAGACACAAGAUAAUCAGGUUGUCCCACAUGGGGCUCACAGUCUUAAUCCCCACUUUACAGAUGAGGUAACUGAGGCUCAGAGAUGUUAAGUGGCUUGCCCAAGGUCACAUAGAAGACACGUGGCGGAGCUGGGAUUAGAACUCACCUCCUCCGACUCCCAAGCCCGUGCUCUUUCCACUAAGCCAUGCUGCUUCUAAUGGCAGUAUGACCUAGUGGAUAGAGCAUGAGCCUGGGAUUCUGAAGAUGAUGGGCUUGGGAAUCAGAGGGCCUGGGUUCUAAUCCUGCUCCGCCACUUGUUGCCUGGGCAACUUUGCUUCUCCGGGCCUCUGUUUUCCCCAUCUGUAAAAUGGGGAUUCUUAAAUCCUACACCCUCUGCCUUAGACUGUGAGCCCCAUGUGGGAUAAGGACUGUUCAUUCAUUCAUUCAAUAGUAUUUAUUGAGCGCUUACUAUGUGCAGAGCACUAUACUAAGCGCUUGGAAUGUACAAAUCGGCAACAGAGACAGUCCCUGCCCAGUGACGGGCUUACAGUCUAAUCGGGGGAGACGGUCAGACAAGAACAAUGGCAAUAAAUAGAAUCGAGGGGAAGAGCAUCUCAUUAAAACGAUAGCAAAUAAAUAGAGUCAGGGUGAUGUACAUCUCAGUAACAAAAUGAAUAGGGUAAUGAAGAUAUAUACAGUCGAGCAGACGAGUACAGUGCUGAGGGGAGGGGACAGGAGAGGGGGAGGAGGAGAGGGAAAGGGGGGAGAAGAGGGUUUAGCUGCCGAGAGGGGAAGGGGUGGGUAGAGGGAGCAGAGGGAAAAGGGGAGCUCAGUGUGGGAAGGCCUCUUAGAGGAGGUGAGCUUUAAGUAGGGUUUUGAAGAGGGGAAGAGAAGCAGUUUGGCAGAGGUGAGGAGGGAGGGCGUUCCGGGACCGCGGGAGGACGUGGCCCGGGGGUCGACGGCGGGACAGGCGAGAAUGGGGGACGGUGAGGAGGUGGGCGGCGGAGGAGCGGAGCGUGCGGGGUGGGCGGUAGAAAGAGAGAAGGGAGGAGAGGUAGGAAGGGGCAAGGGGAUGGACAGCCUCAAAGCCUAGAGUGAGAAGUUUUUCUUUUGUGCGGAGGUCGAUAGGCAACCACUGGAGGUUUAUAAGAAGGGGAGUGACAGGCCCAGAGCAUUUCUGCGGGAAGACGAGCCGGGCGGCGGAGUGAAGAAUAGACUGGAGCGGGGAGAGAGAGGAGGGAGAUCGGAGAGAAGGCUGACACAGUAAUCUAGCUGGAUAUUAUGAGUGCCCGUAGCAGUAAGGUAGCCGUUUGGGUGGAGAGGAAAGGGCGAAUCUUGGCGAUAUUGUAAAGGUGAGACCGGUAGGUCUCGGUGACGGAUCGGAUGUGUGGGGUGAAUGAGAGAGACGAGUCAAAGAUGACACCGAGGUCGCGGGCCUGAGAGACAGGAAGGAUGGUCGUACCGUCCAUGGUGAUAGUGAAGUCAGGGAGAGGACCGGGCUUGGGAGAGAAGAUGAGGAGCUCAGUUUUGGCCAUGUUGAGUUUUAGGUGGCGGGCAGACAUCCAGGUGGAGACGUCUUGGAGGCAGGAGGAGAUACGAGCCCGAAGGGAGGGGGAGAGGACAGGGGCAGAGAUGUAGAUCUGCGUGUCAUCUGCGUAGAGAUGAUAGUUGAAGCCGUGAGAGCGGAUGAGUUCACCGAGUGAGGGUAUAUGGAGAACAGAAGAGGGCCGAGAACUGACCCUUGAGGAACCACAACAGUUAGAGGAUGGGAGGGGGAGGAGGAGCCCGCGAAGGAGAGCGAGAAUGACCGGCCAGAGAGAUGAGAGGAGAACCGGGAGAGGACGGAGUCCGUGAUGCCAAGGUGAGAUAAGGUGUGGAGGAGGGGGGGAUGGUCGACGGUGUCAAAGGCAGCUGAGAGGUCGAGGAGGAUCAGAAUGGAGUAGGAGCCAUUGGAUUUGGCAAGAAGGAGGUCACGGGUGACCUUAGAGAGAGCGGUCUCGGUAGAGUGGAGGGGACGGAAGCCAGAUCGGAGGGGGUCUGGGAGAGAAUGGGAGUUAAGGAAUUCUAAGCAGCGAGUGUAGACGACUCGUUCUAGGAUCUUGGAAAGGAAGGUUAGUAGGGAGAUAGGGCGGUAACUAGAAGGGGAAGUGGGGUCGAGAGAGGGUUUUUUUAGGAUGGGGGAGACUUGGGCAUGUUUGAAAGCAGAGGGGAAGAAGCCAUUGGAGAGUGAGCGGUUAAAGACUGUGACUGUGUUCCACCUGAGUUGAGUACUGCGUCGGGCACGUAGUAACUGCUUGAUGAAUACCUUCGACUGUCGGAACCGGGCCGGCGGGAGGCAGCUUGGGUACAGGAGGGGAAAUACCGGGGAUUUGGUGUUUGAGCUCAACCCAGAUAAAGGGGGUUAAGUUAGAACGCUUUUGUGACUCGGUGAUUUUAAUUCAGCCUCGAGCGCCCUCUGACACAAAGCAUAAAAGGCCAGAUCCAGGCUGAGAGGUUUCCUAGUGCAGAUAAAGCCCCUCUUCACGCCAAAACCUAUUAAUAGAUUACGCGAAGAUCUAAGGAGGCAAAAAUAAUCCGAGAGAGCUAUGAUUAGAUGGCUAUUUUUAAAACCGAACUGUCGGAGCCUAUUCAGAUAAAGCCCAGGGGUGUCUUGAUGAAUCAAGUUAAAGAACUCUCGUGUUCAAAACAGAUGUGCCAAGGAUCGGUAAGAUAGAAAAGGUUAAGGUCCGGUAAGGGGAAAUGGAUCGACUCACGCCAAACCCCAGAGACAAUAUUAGAAAAAGUGAGGCGGUUGUGAGGUAACUUAUAUGGAGAAGGCCACUGCUUGGGCUAAUGAGCCAUUUGUGACACAAUUUUAUGGUUUUGAAAUGCUAUGUGUUGAACGCUCACUAUGUGCCGGGCACUGUCCUAAGCACUGGGGUAGUUAUAAGCUAAUCAGGUUGGACAGUCUGUCUCCCACGUGGAGCUCAUAGUCUUCAUCUCCAUUCUGAGGGGUGGAGAAAGAUUUUCAGACGCGAUUAGAAAAAACCAAACACCUCUCGGGACGCCGUUUGUGAAAAAGAGACCCGACACUAGGGGCUAGGCAUCACACUUGUAUUCAAGUGAACAAUUACAACUGAAUAAAUAAUACAGACAUAACCACGAGGGUUUCAU
rnacentral:lncRNA from 1 species